rfam:Fusarium langsethiae strain Fl201059 Fl201059_contig1, whole genome shotgun sequence.
GACAACGUGGCCGAGUGGUUAAGGCGAUGCCCUGCUAUUUCUUGUAAGAACUAUCAUAGGCAUUGUGUUCGCACGCGUAGGUUCGAAUCCUGCCGUUGUCG